UGGUGAAGCACAUCUGACCAAGCCAG
rnacentral:piRNA from 1 species